rnacentral:rRNA from 1 species
UACAGAGACUGCAAGCGUUAUUCGGAUUCACUGGGCGUAAAGGGUGCGCAGGCGGCCAAGUGUGUCAGGUGUGAAAUCCCGAGGCUUAACCUCGGAACUGCGCCUGAAACUACUUGGCUAGAGUACUGGAGAGGGUAACGGAAUUCACGGUGUAGCAGUGAAAUGCGUAGAUAUCGUGAGGAACACCAGAGGCGAAGGCGGUUACCUGGACAGUUACUGACGCUCAGGCACGAAAGCGUGGGGAGCAAACGGG